rnacentral:rRNA from 1 species
UACGUAGGGUGCAAGCGUUAAUCGGAAUUACUGGGCGUAAAGCGUGCGCAGGCGGUUCGCUAAGACCGAUGUGAAAUCCCCGGGCUUAACCUGGGAACUGCAUUGGUGACUGGCGGGCUAGAGUAUGGCAGAGGGGGGUAGAAUUCCACGUGUAGCAGUGAAAUGCGUAGAGAUGUGGAGGAACACCAAUGGCGAAGGCAGCCUUCUGGGCCAACACUGACGCUCAUGCACGAAAGCGUGGGGAGCAAACAGG